GGACGUGAGGGGGACCUGGCUGAGCAUCCGUCACCCCACCGAACACCAGGGUUGAUCAGCUGAUCUGGCCAGAUAGGCAGGCGUCACCUUCCUCCUUCGCUGCUGCUCCGAGCACAUCCCACUGCGGCUGUGCGCUCAGAGAGGAUGCCUUCCCCAGCAGAGGAGGCCCCUCUUCAGUCAGGAUGCGAGUAGCUGCACUCCCCUCCUCGAACGUGCAAACAAGCCCUCCAGGUUGCAGUGCUGUGAUGGUAGCACAACGGACUUUAGUCAAAACCAUUAGUUAUACACUGUAAAUAGUGCGUU
rnacentral:snRNA from 1 species